UACGGAGGGUGCGAGCGUUGUCCGGAAUCACUGGGCGUAAAGGGCGCGUAGGCGGCCUGAUAAGUAGGGGGGUGAAAUCCUGCGGCUUAACCGCAGGGCUGCCUUCUAAACUGUCAGGCUCGAGCACAGUAGAGGCAGGUGGAAUUCCCGGUGUAGCGGUGGAAUGCGUAGAGAUCGGGAAGAACAUCAGUGGCGAAGGCGGCCUGCUGGGCUGAUACUGACGCUGAAGCGCGAAAGCUAGGGGAGCGAACGGG
rnacentral:rRNA from 1 species